CGGGCAAUAGCGCAGUUGGUAGCGCGCAACGUUCGGGACGUUGAGGCCGCCGGUUCGAAUCCGGCUUGCCCGA
rnacentral:tRNA from 1 species